rnacentral:rRNA from 1 species
AUUGAACGCUGGCGGCAGGCCUUACACAUGCAAGUCGAACGAGUGGCGGACGGGUGAGAAAUGUCUGGGACACUGCGCGAUGGAGGGGGAUGACUACGGGAAACGGUAGCUAAUACCGCAUACCAUCGGAUGUGCCCAGAUGGGAGUAGCUGGGGGGUGGGGUAAAGGCUCACCAAGGCGACGAUCCCUAGCUGGUCUGAGAGGAGUACCACCCCCACGGGAACUGAGACACGGUCCAGACUCCACCAAGAACCACCAUUAUAUAAUAUUGCACAAUUGGCGCAAGCCUGAUCCAGCCAUGCCGCGUGUACGAAGAACACCUUCGGGUUUUAAAGCACUGUCGGCGGGAAGGCGGUACCCGCAGAAUAAGCACCGGCUAACUCCGUGCCAGCAGCCGCGGUAAUAC